rnacentral:sRNA from 1 species
GUUUGCACUUGUCGGGGAAGGGUGAGAACCUUCGAUUAAGGUUCGACUCGAGCGAAAGAACGUUGCCAACGGUAACGGCCC